AUGGGAAACAGGUAAAUAUUCCUGUACUAUAGUAUGUUUCGAUGGAAUGACACAGAUUGUUUGCGUGCGCGAGGUUUUGGUUGUCCUCGUCGAACCGUUUAGACUUGCGGCGAGUCAAAUGCUUGUCGCUUUAAGGUUAAGGCGGGAUAGUGACUGGGCUUUCGGGUUCAGGAAGUCGCGUAAACUAGGCUGUUGAGAAAUAAUUUC
rnacentral:rRNA from 1 species